CGCAAAAAGAAACGGCGUUUGUUUACGCUAUGAAAGCAAAGAAACGCGGCGCAAUGGCCGCGUUGUGUCGGCAAUGACAGCUGCUAGCGUCCUGCAUUUACGUAGGAUCUGGAUAACAUCCAUUUGAUUCAACAUCAAAGUGGAUGCCAACUUCGCAAGAAAUUUUCCCAGAGGAUGACUAAUCCAAAUAUUUAAAUAUCCGUGAAAUGGCCAAAUUUCGUGUGAUGAUAAUAUAUUUUUAAACGUGGGAUGAUGGGCGUUGAUUUGAUCAUUACUUACCUCCUAAGAGCUCAUCCAAAGUAAAUUUCAUCGAGGAUGACAUAUCUAAUGCACAAGGAAAAAAAAAACUAGGCUUUCGUUAAACAACAAUCACGAAUAGUACAACGAUCCGAAAAAGCGUGUACAACCGAGCGACUUACUUCGUGCGCGUACACGUAUGACUAACGUAGAAACGUGACGUACUCGCUACGAAUUAUCACGAUAAAA